AACGAACGCUGGCGGCAUGCCUAACACAUGCAAGUCGAACGAAACCAAGGCUUCGGCCUGAAGUUUAGUGGCGCACGGGUGCGUAACGCGUGGGAAUCUGCCCUUGGGUUCGGAAUAACUCAGAGAAAUUUGAGCUAAUACCGGAUGAUGACGAAAGUCCAAAGAUUUAUCGCCCAAGGAUGAGCCCGCGUAAGAUUAGCUUGUUGGUGAGGUAAAGGCUCACCAAGGCGACGAUCUUUAGCUGGUCUGAGAGGAUGAUCAGCCACACUGGGACUGAGACACGGCCCAGACUCCUACGGGAGGCAGCAGUCGAGAAUAGUCUACAAUGGCCGGAAGGCUGAUAGUGCGACGCCGCGUGAACGAGGGAGCCCUUCGGGGUGUAAAGUUCUUUUCUAUACGAGCAGUGCUAUAUAUAUGGAUAGUAUAUAUAGAGGGAUAGUAGUAUAGGAAUAAGCAACGGCUAACUUCGUG
rnacentral:rRNA from 1 species